AGUGAACGCUGGCGGCAGGCCUAACACAUGCAAGUCGAACGGAAGAACGGUGCUUGCUCCUGGAUACAGGGGCGGAGGGGUGGAUGAUGGCUGGAAACAUCCCUGGUAGUGGGGGAUAAGGUCCGAAAAUGGGGGCAAAUACCGCAAAAGUUCAGAGGGAGAAAGUGGGGGAUCUUCGGAUCUCACGCUAUUAGAUGAGCCUAGGUCGGAUUAGCUAGUUGGUGGGGUAAAGGCCUACCAAGGCGACGAUCCGUAACUGGUCUGAGAGGAUGAUCAGGCACACUGGAACUGAGACACGGUCCAGACUCCUACGGGAGGCAGCAGUGGGGAAUAUUGGACAAUGGGCGAAAGCCUGAUCCAGCCAUGCCGCGUGGGUGAAGAAGGUCUUCGGGUUGUAAAGCCCUUUUAGUGGGGAAGAAGGGCAGUAGGUUAAUACCUGGCUGUUUUGACGGUACCAACAGAAUAAGCACCGGCUAACUUCGUG
rnacentral:rRNA from 1 species